rnacentral:rRNA from 1 species
GAUUAAGCCAUGCAUGUGUAAGUACGAGCAAAAUGAAUGCUCUGCCGUGGACGGCUCAUUAUAUCAGCUAUGAUUUGUUGGAUCUGUACCCCCAGUUUAAUUGGAUAACUGUGGUAAUUCUAGAGCUAAUACAUGAUUCCUAGUCCCCGACUCUAGAGGAAGGGUGCUUUUAUUAUUACAAACUGGUAUUCGUGCCGUGGUCGGUGCGCAAGUACCCAUAUUAUGAUGACUCAGAAUAACUUCUUGCUGAGCGCAUGGCCUCUGUGCUAGUGCUGUUUCUUUCAAGUGUCUGCCUUAUCAGCUUUCGAUUGUAAGUUAUACGCUUACAAUGGCUAUAACGGGUAACGGGGAAUCAGGGUUCGAUUCCGGAGAGGGAGCCUGAGAAACGGCUACCAGUUCUAAGGAGUGCAGCAGGCACGCAAAUUACCCACUCCCGGCACGGGGAGGUAGUGACGAAAAAUAACGAUGCAAGACUCAUCUGGGUCUAUGUAAUCGGAAUGAGAACACUUUAAAUCCUUUAUCUAGGAUCAAUUGGAGGGCAAGUCUGGUGCCAGCAGCCGCGGUAAUUCCAGCUCCAAUAGCAUAUACCAAUGUUGUUGCGGUUAAAAAGCUCGUAGUUGGUUCUCUGAAAGAGCUUUGGGAAGUCUUCUUUACCGAAAGGUAGUUGACUGAAAAACAAAUGCCUCUUGAUAUAGCCCGGCGCCGUUUCGGUCUAGCCAACUUACAUGGUGUUGCUCUUGAACGAGUGUCCCGUGUGGUUGGCAUGUUUACUUUGAAUAAAUUAGAGUGCUCAAAACAGGACAAUAUAAAGCCUGAAUAGACAUGCAUGGAAUAAUGGAAUAAGACCUCGGUUCUACUGUUUUUCCAGUUUGAAAGAACCGAGAUAAUGAUCAAAAGAGACUGCCGGGGGCAUCUGUACUGCAGCGCUAGAGGUGAAAUUCUAUGACCGUUGCAAGACAAACAACAGCGAAAGCAUUUGCCAAGAAUGUCUUCAUUAAUCAAGAACGAAAGUUAGAGGUUCGAAGCGAUCAGAUACCGCCCUAGUUCUAACCAUAAACGAUGCUGACCAGCGAUCCGCCAGCGUUAUACCAAUGACCUGUGCGGGCAACUUCCGGGAAACCAAAGUUUUUGAGUUCCGGGGGAAGUAUGGUUGCAAAUCUGAAACUUAAAGGAAUUGACGGAAGGGCACCACCAGGAGUGGAGCCUGCGGCUUAAUUUGACUCAACACGGGAAAACUCACCAGGCCCAGACACUGGAAGGAUUGACAGAUUGAGAGCUCUUUCUCGAUUCAGUGGUUGGUGGUGCAUGGCCGUUCUUAGUUGGUGGAGCGAUUUGUCUGGUUAAUUCCGAUAACGAACGAGAUUCUAGCCUAUUAAAUAGUCGAUGGAUUCCGCCCGUCCAAUCGAACUACUUCUUCUUAGAGGGAUAAGUGGUAUAAUCUAGCCACAUGAGAUUGAGCAAUAACAGGUCUGUGAUGCCCUUAGAUGUUCUGGGCCGCACGCGCGCUACACUGAAGUGAGCAGCGUGCUUUUCCCCUCCGAGAGGAGUUGGGUAACCAUUUUAAAUCCCUUCCUGAUAGGGCUUGGGGCCUGGAACUAUUUCCCAUAAACGAGGAAUUCCCAGUAAGCGCAAGUCAAGAGCUUGCGUUGACUAAGUCCCUGCCCUUUGUACACACCGCCCGUCGCUACUACCGAUUGAAUGGUUUAGUGAGGACUUUGGACUGUCGCUCAAAUGGAGAAGAGUCCGUAUCCUUAGAGCUGACGGAAAGAUGUCCAAACUUGAUCCUUUAGAG